UAAAAAUGUGCGGUCCCCACGCCAGCUCCAGAGCUGUCGUACGCACGUUUCUACAGCUAUUGUUCCUUUGGCGACACUUAGAGGUGACGCUGGGAAACUGGGAAAAAAGGCCAGUAUUACUGGAGCUGUGCGCAGAGCUGCGGCCGGCCCUAGAGCGCCACACAGCCAGGAGCCAGGGGUUGUCCGUGCCCACACAGGUGCUGACCACGCUGGGGUUCCUGGCAACAGGGGCCUUCCGGCGGGAGCUGGCCGAUCGGUCAGGAGUGUGCCAGUCCACCCUGAGCCGAGCCAUGCCAGCUGUGUGGGACGGAAUCAUCCGAAUAUCAUCCAGGAAACACUUUCAUUCUAUCAAUGUCCAAGUCAUAUGUGAUGCGCAAAUGCAGCUUCUUAACAUCGUGGCAAGGUGGCCUGGUUCAACGCACGAUUCAUUCAUUCUGACCAACAGCAUGGUUAGGAACAGGCUGGAGGCUGGCACUGUGCGCGAUGGGUGGCUUCUGGGUGAGUAAAUGCUUUAUUUGUGUAAUUGUCCUGUAUGUAUAAACCAGCGUAAUGCACAUCUGGGGCUUGUGCACAUCCAAACGCCGGGGCCGACGGAGGAGACGCCGGGGCCGACGGAGGAGACGCCGGGGC
ensembl:lncRNA